UACGGAGGGUGCAAGCGUUAUCCGGAUUCACUGGGCGUAAAGGGCUCGUAGGCGGCGUGUCGCGUCGGGAGUGAAAGCCCGCUGCUUAACGGCGGGUUGGCUUCCGGUACGGGCAUCGCUGGAGUGCGGCAGGGGAGACUGGAAUUCCUGGUGUAGCGGUGGAAUGCGCAGAUAUCAGGAAGAACACCCGUGGCUAAGGCGGCUCUCUAGUACGGUACUGACGCUGAGACGCGAAAGCGUGGGGAGCGAACAGG
rnacentral:rRNA from 1 species